ensembl:lncRNA
CUGAAAUUGUGUCUUAAUUUCAACAUUCUUGAGUUUUCCAGUAAAUUUUUUGUUGUUGUUUCAGCUUGCACUGAUUCUAUUAUUAUAUUUUCAUAAAGAAAAGUCAAAGCCAGCAACAUAGUAUAUGUAGCCCACUGUAACCAUUACAGUCCACUGAGCUCUCUCAGGCAUGUACCCUGUCCUUCCUUCCCUUUGCCUUUCAAACUCAUUAUUUGCUGGUUAUCCCCAGACUGCUUUAGUUUUUAAUAUUUGAAUUCUGCUGAAUUCAAAUAUUAGACGGUUGGCACAAGAGUUCCGGUCUCCAGUGUUUGUUAGCAGGGAGAAGCUUUGCUGCAGCACUCCACUCCCUGGAAGGUCAGGAGGCUACCUUCUCCUGGUAGGAGAUCUGCCAAGGAAGCUUGCUCUGUGGUCAAGACCAGGUGGAAAAGAUUAACCCUUUGAGAGUCAUGCCCCUUAGCCUGCCAGGGGUCAUGACACUGAAGGCAUGGUCUGUUGUCAUCAGUGAACAAUCAAGCUCCAGGAAAGGAUAAAAAGGGUGAGUCGAGUCCAAAAUCUACUGAAAACAAGGACAAAAUUAUUAUCUAAAAGCAUAAAUGUUAGGAUUUCACCCAGGAAUCAUAAGGAUGAAGCUUACGUUUCUCUGAAGAGUUAAAUUCAGGAUACAUUCAAGAUGAACAUCUUUUAUUUGAUAACGAUACUACAUGUAUAAAGCCAACUCAAAGUCAGUGUGUCUGUGGACUUGAAACAUUGCUCUCUGAAAGGUCGAUGUGGGAUUUUUGAAUCUUGAGUCUUCAAGGACGUAAAUGGUGCAUCUAUGCUUUUAGCACUGUGGGACUGCUUCACCGUGUCUGUAAUCACAUGCAAUUAAAUGUUUUACAAAAACAUAAAGUGUAGCAGGAGAGGUAAUGUUUUGGAAAAUCUUUCAAUAAAACAGAAAUAAAGAAAUAAAGUUAUGUGUAUAUUUUAAAUUAACGGUUAGGAGGGAGGUACCCCCCAAAAUUGUUUUCUGUGUCAGAUUUCUAUGCUUCUUUUUAAAGGGUAAAAGCACCAUGUUACUAGAAAUGAAAAACAAAACAAUGAGAAAACAUUGUUCCAGCUGUCAUCACAUUGUUCACACUACAGUAUUAUGUACAUAGAUAGUUACAGCUAUUGCCUAGUUUCCUUAUUGUUUGUUUAGGUCUUUUAUAUAGCAACGACGUAGAGAAAAAUAAUAAGAAAAAUAAAUAAAUUAUUUCUGAUUUAAAAAAUAGAUAUGAACUGGGUGACUUCAGACUAUAACUGCACCCC